rnacentral:lncRNA from 1 species
AUUGCUGUGACUUCAGCUGUGUAAGUGAGUGACACCGUUAGGCCAAAAGUUCACUUCCUCUUUUAUGCCAGCAGUAAAAAAUGUAUGCAAUAGAGAGGUUUGGAACGUCUUGUAGUUAAACUUUAACGCCAGCUCUUUGCUGUGAAAAGCACUUUCUAACACUGUAAAUAACAAGGCUGUCAUUAUUUUUCCUGCAGGACAGAGAGCUGAGACAGAGAAAGCUGGUGGAGCAGUGUUGUUCCAGACAGACUGAGUUGGAGGCCGCUCUUAAUCCGCUUCACUUUAUCAGACACCUUUCGCUGCUCCGUGCAGACACUGCUCAGGCUGUACUGUGUGGGAAGUUUUGGUUCAAGGAAUAUGGCCUGGUGCAGUACAGUGGAUACAAACAGAAUGUGAAGAUCAUGGGUUUGCUUCAGCAGAAGGCUUUGCCUCUGCUCGAGAGACUGAACCAGCUCCUUGAAGAAAAACAGCCAGCUGGAUUCUCCUCCAACACAUGCAAUCAGCACAUCUCUGGUACAUAAUAUAUACUACAGAUUGCCCUGAAGAAAGCACAAUUUCCAGUUAAAUAAAGGCAAUUUUCGGCUUUUUUCCAUGCCAUUCGAUGUGCCAGUUUAAGAUGUUUGUAUAUAAAGUCUGCAUAAAACAGAAAAAAAACAUCCAUGCACUCACAAAUAUGUGAGUUAAGUACUGGGCCAAAAAAAAUUUAAGGACACAAAAAAGCAUACUGCAGAGGUUCAGUCAACUUAUUUCCUGUAUCUUAGCAGUGUGUGACAUUUUG